UACUGAAAAAAAAAACCCUAAGGAAAAAUUACCUGUACCUCUAUACUACAAUGCUUGAGAUUGGCGUGCUCUCAGAUACAAAACUACUAUGCCCGCUUUACUGUAAUUUUUAGAUCUAACUCAAUACAUCGAUACGAUGUCGCUUCGAACAUAGUAACGGAUAAUAUCUUCCUAUUAAUAUUUUAGGUUCACAUUUUUGGUACAGGCGCGCGUAGCGCGCCAACCUAACUAGUUCUAUUGAAUUUGCCCUCAGUGCCAUAUAUAGACGAAGCUGUAGUGUUCCGUGCAUGCUGCCAGGUUGCAGAUCAUCGAUGACAGCUUGGUAUCCUUAACCCUCUCGCAUUGCCCUUUGCAAUGUUUCAUUUUUUCUAAUAUUUCUACAUGGAAAAUCUUACUGCAAGAAAAUUGGGAGUGUAGCACAGGAUAUAUGUUCGAUGAAAUGUCUAGAAAACAAAAUCAAAGAUUCAAGGCCACCAAACCUCAUUUGUGGAUCGUCAGGUAUAUAUGAUCCAAGUUUUAUGAUUUUUAGCAGCUACUAUAGCUUGUUUGAAAUAUUUGUAGAUUCAACUGAUUCAAACUGGUCAUUGAGCAUUGAGAGCUCAACUUGAUUCUAGACAUCUAAGAUGACGACCAAUAUUCAAUAGUUCUCCGAAGGUUCCUACAUCGUGUUAAACAUUCUCUUUUCUCUUGCAGGAGAGUUUAGUCUAUGUUGAGUCAUUCUGCUUGUUUGCCAUGCUGCUAUCAAGUGCAGUUUUCCAACCAUCCCUACAUGCACAAUUAGGAACGUCUAGGCUCAACUUCUGUUUGUUACAAUGCUUACCUAAUAAACAUUACUUACUUCGGUGAAUUGGUUGUACAUCAUAAUUGCAGAUACUAUCAUGAUUUAUUUGGCAGAGAAUACUGGGUGUGCAGUACUCAAUCCCAGACUAUGCCCACAUAUCUCCACAGUGAGGAUCGGAUCAACAUCACUGAGAUAUAUAAGAAACCAUCCCUGUUUCAUGAAGAACCACCCAUUAUUGAAAGCAGUCGUUGUACUUCCUCGGCGUCUGCUUCCAGGUCCGCGCAGGCGAGCAAUCCACCGACCACCGCAGUCGUGCACUCCACUGUCCUCCCUAUCAAAGUAAACCAAAUAUUUUUUUUAUUCCCUUCUCUCCAUGCAUCGCACAUCUCUUGACUGUACCAUUAGAAUUUGUAUUGGCUCAUUUGGGCUCUAUGCUAGGGGGUUGCUCGUCUAUCCACCUUAUGUUAGACCAAAUGCUCGUUAGCGAAUAAAUAGUUGAGAACCUCAGUUCUUGCACAACCGUGUGAACUGAAAGAUUCCUGAUCUAGGUCACGAACAUUAUUAACAAGUUAGCAACCACUGCAGUUUAGUUAGAUAUUUUGUUGUUGCAUUGACUAAUUACCACUUAAGUUUAGUCAGAUAUUAACAGAUCGACUGAAAAUGAAGGAUUGCAUACAUUCAUAUUUGCAUUUGCAUUAUAGAUUAGCUUUUUUUUUGAGAUCGCAUUAUAGAUUA